CGCCUUAGUACACUAGUUAUUUAUUAUAUGGCAACCCUUUUAAAGUGUCCUAUUUUUUAUAAUGUAAAAACUACACAUUACAAGUGUGGCUUUAAAAAUUUCACUAAAAUUUUAUAUUCCCGCCAAUAUUUCCAACUCUCCCUCCCAUUUUGAUUGGCCAAAAAUUAAUAAAACAUUAUCUUUUCUCUUUCUCCAACUUUACUCUUUCUCCAAAAAAGCUUUGUACUUUACUCUUUCUCCAGAUUUCUCCAAACAUUAUCGGUGUUACUCUUUCUCCAAACAUUAUCGACGAACUUUAGAUGAAGAACUAAAGGUGAAGAAUUGAUAUCAACGAACUAGGAUGGAGAUUAAGCUGAGAAUUGAUAUCGAAGAACUCAACUUUAGAUGAAGAACUGAGCUAAGGGGAAUAACUGAAGAAAGGCAAACUGAGUUGAAGAUGAAGAGUUGAAGCUGAAGAAAUGACGGGUGGAAGCUGAAGAAAUGACGGGUGGAAGCUGAAGAUUCCUCCAAUAUCGUUAUUUUCAAGCGCAACUACUGAUUUCAACAAGGAAGGAAUAGAUUAAUUUGGGGUUUUUAUAGAUUAAAUUCCAAAGUAGGAGAAGAAAGUUGCGAAAAUAUGAAUAACAAAGUGAGCCUUACGCACAUUCAGCAAAGGUGAAAGAGGGAUUACCACUCGGAAGACUUUGAGUCAGUUAGUAUCGCAGUGGACAUUAGAGGCAGAACAAUGAGCUCUGUAGUUUGAAGACGCUCCUGGUUUCGUCCCUAUCCCGAGUUCGUUGCUCCGAGAGAGAACGGAUGAAGGAUUUAUAGAUAGAACGGAGGAAGGGUUUAUAGCCGACUACAUAUUGCUGAAGGUUGCAUCGAUUCGGAAGCUCAACGGAAAGGAAAGACUCAAGUCAUAGAGUGAUUAUUUGAUUGGCUAAGG